rnacentral:rRNA from 1 species
GACGAACGCUGGCGGCGUGCUUAACACAUGCAAGUCGAGCGGUAACAGGCGUAGCAAUACGUGCUGACGAGCGGCGAACGGGUGCGUAAUACAUGGGAAUCUGCCCUUUGGUGGGGAAUAACCCGGCGAAAGCCGGGCUAAUGCCGCAUAAGAUUUUCGGAUGAAAGCGGGGGAUCGUAAGACCUCGCGCCGAUGGAUGAGCCCAUGUCGGAUUAGCUAGUUGGUGAGGUAACGGCUCACCAAGGCGACGAUCCGUAGCUGGUCUGAGAGGACGGCCAGCCACACUGGGACUGAGACACGGCCCAGACUCCUACGGGAGGCAGCAGUGGGGAAUAUUGGACAAUGGGCGGAAGCCUGAUCCAGCCAUGCCGCGUGUGUGAAGAAGGCCUUUUGGUUGUAAAGCACUUUAAGCGAGGAGGAGGCUACUAGUAUUAAUACUACUGGAUAGUGGACGUUACUCGCAGAAUAAGCACCGGCUAACUCUGUGCCAGCAGCCGCAGUAAUAC